AACCGCUCUGGUGGCCUAGUGGUUAGAGCAUCUGCCUCGGAUGCUGGAGGUAAUAGGUUUAAUCCCCAAUCAUGUUA